AGUGAACGCUGGCGGUAGGCCUAACACAUGCAAGUCGAACGGCAGCACAGUAAGAGCUUGCUCUUACGGGUGGCGAGUGGCGGACGGGUGAGGAAUACAUCGGAAUCUACUUUUUCGUGGGGGAUAACGUAGGGAAACUUACGCUAAUACCGCAUACGACCUACGGGUGAAAGCAGGGGAUCUUCGGACCUUGCGCGAUUGAAUGAGCAGAUGUCGGAUUAGCUAGUUGGCGGGGUAAAGGCCCACCAAGGCGACGAUCCGUAGCUGGUCUGAGAGGAUGAUCAGCCACACUGGAACUGAGACACGGUCCAGACUCCUACGGGAGGCAGCAGUGGGGACUAUUGGACAAUGGGCGCAAGCCUGAUCCAGCCAUACCGCGUGGGUGAAGAAGGCCUUCGGGUUGUAAAGCCCUUUUGUUGGGAAAGAAAAGCAGCAGGUUAAUACCCCGCUGUUCUGACGGUACCCAAAGAAUAAGCACCGGCUAACUUCGUG
rnacentral:rRNA from 1 species